rnacentral:rRNA from 1 species
GACGAACGCUGGCGGCGUGCUUAACACAUGCAAGUCGAGCGGUAAGGCCCUUUCGGGGGUACACGAGCGGCGAACGGGUGAGUAACACGUGGGUGACCUGCCCUCAGCUCUGGGAUAAGCCUGGGAAACCGGGUCUAAUACUGGAUAUGACUCCAUGACGCAUGUUGUGGGGUGGAAAGCCUUGUGCGGCUGAGGAUGGGCCCGCGGCCUAUCAGCUUGUUGGUGGGGUGAGGCCUACCAAGGCGACGACGGGUAGCCGGCCUGAGAGGGCGACCGGCCACACUGGGACUGAGACACGGCCCAGACUCCUACGGGAGGCAGCAGUGGGGAAUCUUGCGCAAUGGGCGAAAGCCUGACGCAGCGACGCCGCGU